rnacentral:rRNA from 1 species
ACGGCCAUACCAUGCUGAAUAUACCGGUUCUCGUUAGAUCACCGAAGUCAAGCAUCAUUAAGCGCGGUCAGUACUGGGGUGGGUGACCACCUGGGAACACAG